rnacentral:rRNA from 1 species
UUGGUUCUGGCAUCGAUGAAGAACGCAGCGAAAUGCGAUAAGUAGUGUGAAUUGCAGAAUUCAGUGAAUCAUCGAAUCUUUGAACGCACAUUGCGCCCCUUGGUAUUCCAUGGGGCAUGCCUGUUCGAGCGUCAUUUGUACCUUCAAGC